UGCCAGCCGCCGCGGUAAUACGGAGGGGGUUAGCGUUGUUCGGAAUUACUGGGCGUAAAGCGCACGUAGGCGGAUUAGAAAGUUAGAGGUGAAAUCCCGGGGCUCAACCCCGGAACUGCCUUUAAAACUACUAAGCUAGAGUGCGAGAGAGGAGAGUAGAAUUUCUGGUGUAGCGGUGAAAUGCGUAGAUAUCAGAAGGAAUACCAAUGGCGAAGGCAGCUCUCUGGCUCGUCACUGACGCUGAGGUGCGAAAGCGUGGGUAGCAAACAGGAUUAGAUA
rnacentral:rRNA from 1 species